AUUGAACGCUGGCGGCAGGCUUAACACAUGCAAGUCGAACGAUGAAGUCUAGCUUGCUAGACGGAUUAGUGGCGAACGGGUGAGUAAUGCUUAGGAAUCUGCCUAUUAGUGGGGGAUAACGUAGGGAAACUUACGCUAAUACCGCAUACGACCUACGGGUGAAAGGGGGCUUUUAGCUCUCGCUAAUAGAUGAGCCUAAGUCGGAUUAGCUAGUUGGUGGGGUAAAGGCCUACCAAGGCGACGAUCUGUAGCUGGUCUGAGAGGAUGAUCAGCCACACUGGGACUGAGACACGGCCCAGACUCCUACGGGAGGCAGCAGUGGGGAAUAUUGGACAAUGGGCGAAAGCCUGAUCCAGCCAUGCCGCGUGUGUGAAGAAGGCCUUUUGGUUGUAAAGCACUUUAGGUGGGGAGGAAAAGCUUAUGGUUAAUACCCAUAAGCCCUGACGUUACCCACAGAAUAGGCACCGGCUAACUACGUGCCAGCAGCCGCGGUAAUACGUAGGGUGCGAGCGUUGUCCGGAAUUACUGGGCGUAAAGGGCUCGUAGGUGGUUUGUCGCGUCGUCUGUGAAAUUCUGGGGCUUAACUCCGGGCGUGCAGGCGAUACGGGCAUAACUUGAGUGCUGUAGGGGUAACUGGAAUUCCUGGUGUAGCGGUGAAAUGCGCAGAUAUCAGGAGGAACACCGAUGGCGAAGGCAGGUUACUGGGCAGUUACUGACGCUGAGGAGCGAAAGCAUGGGUAGCGAACAGGAUUAGAUACCCUGGUAGUCCAUGCCGUAAACGGUGGGCGCUAGGUGUGAGGGUCUUUCUACGACUUUCGUGCCGUAGCUAACGCAUUAAGCGCCCCGCCUGGGAGUACGGCCGCAAGGCUAAAACUCAAAGGAAUUGACGGGGGCCCGCACAAGCGGCGGAGCAUGUGGAUUAAUUCGAUGCAACGCGAAGAACCUUACCUGGGCUUGACAUACACCAGAUUGGGCUAGAGAUAGUUCGUCCCUUUGUGGUUGGUGUACAGGUGGUGCAUGGUUGUCGUCAGCUCGUGUCGUGAGAUGUUGGGUUAAGUCCCGCAACGAGCGCAACCCUUGUCUUAUGUUGCCAGCAUUUGGUUGGGGACUCAUGAGAGACUGCCGGGGUUAACUCGGAGGAAGGUGGGGAUGACGUCAAAUCAUCAUGCCCCUUAUGUCCAGGGCUUCACACAUGCUACAAUGGUCGGUACAACGCGCUGCGGCACUGUGAGGUGGAGCGAAUCGCUGAAAGCCGGCCUUAGUUCGGAUUGGGGUCUGCAACCCGACCCCAUGAAGUCGGAGUCGCUAGUAAUCGCAGAUCAGCAAUGCUGCGGUGAAUACGUUCCCGGGCCU
rnacentral:rRNA from 1 species